AGAGUUUGAUCCUGGCUCAGGAUGAACGCUGACAGAAUGCUUAACACAUGCAAGUCAACUUGAACUUCGGUUUGGGUGGCGGACGGGUGAGUAACGCGUAAAGAACUUGCCUCACAGAUAGGGACAACAUUUGGAAACGAAUGCUAAUACCUGAUAUUAUGAUUUUAGGGCAUCCUAGAAUUAUGAAAGCUAUAUGCGCUGUGAGAGAGCUUUGCGUCCCAUUAGCUAGUUGGAGAGGUAACGGCUCACCAAGGCGAUGAUGGGUAGCCGGCCUGAGAGGGUGAUCGGCCACAAGGGGACUGAGACACGGCCCUUACUCCUACGGGAGGCAGCAGUGGGGAAUAUUGGACAAUGGACCAAGAGUCUGAUCCAGCAAUUCUGUGUGCACGAUGAAGUUUUUCGGAAUGUAAAGUGCUUUCAGUUGGGAAGAAAAAAAUGACGGUACCAACAGAAGAAGUGACGGCUAAAUACGUGCCAGCAGCCGCGGUAAUACGUAUGUCACAAGCGUUAUCCGGAUUUAUUGGGCGUAAAGCGCGUCUAGGUGGUUAUGUAAGUCUGAUGUGAAAAUGCAGGGCUCAACUCUGUAUUGCGUUGGAAACUGUGUAACUAGAGUACUGGAGAGGUAAGCGGAACUACAAGUGUAGAGGUGAAAUUCGUAGAUAUUUGUAGGAAUGCCGAUGGGGAAGCCAGCUUACUGGACAGAUACUGACGCUGAAGCGCGAAAGCGUGGGUAGCAAACAGGAUUAGAUACCCUGGUAGUCCACGCCGUAAACGAUGAGUGCUAGGU
rnacentral:rRNA from 1 species